GUGCUCGCUUCGGCAGCACAUAUACUAAAAUUGGAACCAUACAGAGAAGAUUAGCACAGCCCCUGCGCAAGGAUGACAUGCAAAUUCGUGAAGCGUUUCAUAUUUUU
rnacentral:snRNA from 1 species